rnacentral:lncRNA from 1 species
CUGGAAUUCCAUGGCUGAGGUGCAACAGGUCCCACAGCCUCUCCAGCCUCUGUGGGAAGAAGGAUCAUCUGAUGCCUACGUAAUAGAGUUGCUGAAGGAGUGGAAGCAGCUUUGACAUUAUCAGUGGAACCCACCAGUGCAGACUGCUUCAUCCAGGGGCACCUGAGGCAGCAGAUCUGAGGAUUAGGGACGUCGGGAGCUGAAGCGUGGCUGGAGAGGUGGUGCGCACAAGAACCCCCACAUUCCCCGACAGGAGCCUGAAAAAGCAAGACGCCAUGUUGGGAGGACACGGAAGCAGUUCUAGGGAGAGGAGCACAUGGCAAGAAGCCA